rnacentral:pre_miRNA from 1 species
GCAGGGCCGCCACGAAUGGCUAUGCACUGCACAACCCUAGGAGAGGGUGCCAUUCACAUAGACUAUAAUUGAAUGGCGCCACUAGGGUUGUGCAGUGCACAACCUACACAACUGUACUCGGC